CGCAGUAGCUCAGUGGUAGAGCUAUCGGCUGUUAACCGAUCGGUCGUAGGUUCGAAUCCUACCUGCG
rnacentral:tRNA from 3 species